CCCAGAUGCCCCCACCCAGGGCUCAGGACUGAACUCAGCCGACUCACCAUGGAGUUCUGGCUGAGCCGGGCUGUCCUCGUUGCUAUUUUACAAGGUGUCCACUGUGCGGAGCAGCUGGUGGCGUCUGGAGGAGGCUUGGUGCCGCCUGGGGGGUCUCUGCAACUCUCCUGUGCAGCUUCUGGAUUCACCUUUGCUGAUUAUGCCAUGAGCUGGUUCCGCCAGGCUCCAGGGAGGGGGCUGGAGUGGGUCGCAGCCAUUAGUGGUGAUGGUAGUCACACAUCCUAUGCAGACGCCGUGAAGGGAGGAUUCCCCAUCUCCAAAGACAACUCCAAGAACACGGUGACUCUGCAAACACACAGCCUGAGAGCCGAGGACACAGCCGUGUAUUACUGUGUACGUGACACAGUGAGGGGAUGUCCCUGUGAGCCCAGACACACACCUCCUGCAGGGAGACUGGAGGAGGUGCAGGGGGUGCUCAGGACCCCUUUCUGGUGGGAGGGCCUCUCAGGACUCAGCAAUUUUGCCUUCGGCCCCAGGAGCAGGAAGAGUCCUGCAGCCUCACCAGGCAGCCCCCUCUGUGCAGGAACCCCUGCAGGGGCGGCCAGGUCCAGUGUGGAGAAGCCCCGGCCUGGACAGGAGGGCUCCCUGUGCCCUGAUGUGCGCUCCCCAGCACCUCCCGACCAAGUCCAGGCUGCGGUCUAG